rnacentral:ncRNA from 1 species
AGGUGCCCGCAAGGGCUUAAUAGGGAAGCCGGUGAAAGGCCGGCACGGUCCCGCCACUGUAUGGCUGAGCAGCUCCGGAAGAUGUCACUGGGAAACCGGGAAGGCAGGAAGCUGCGAGGACGCCGAGUCAGGAGAACUGCCUGUUCGG